ensembl:snRNA U6 U6 spliceosomal RNA
GGGCUCGCUUCAGCAGCACACAUACUAAAACUGGAAUGACACAGAGAAGAUGAGCAGGGCCCCUGCGCAUGGAUGACAUGCAGAUUCACGAAGUGUUCCAACUUUUU